CUUGAACUCCUGACCUUGAGAAGUCCUCCUGCUUUGGCCUCCCAGAGUGCUAGGAUUAUAGGCAUGAGCCAUCACGUCUGGCCUCUACUUCUUAAAGCCACAUGAUUUUGUUCACUUGGGUGUGAAUUUGGAACUGGCCACAAAUUCAACUUUAGUGGAUGCCAUAACAUUAAUGGAGGCUGAGCACUUAGUGAAGAAGUGAAUCUGUGAUCUACUCCACAGAAUAAAGUUGUCUUCCCAGAGCCAUGUAAACGAUCAACCACAACUGUGUUUUUAUAACAAUCCUGUGGGUUAUGGAAA